AAACUCGUGCUAAUACCGAAUAAUCUCUAAGGAGGAAAGGGGACCUCUAUUUAUAAGUUCUCGCUAAUGGAUGAGCCCAAGGAAGAUUAGCUAGUUGGUAAGGUAAUGGCUUACCAAGGCUACGAUCUUUAGCUGUUCUGAGAGGAUGAUCAGCCACACUGGGACUGAGACACGGCCCAGACUCCUACGGGAGGCAGCAGUAGGGGAUAUUGCACAAUGGGGG
rnacentral:rRNA from 1 species